CCUUACCUACUCUUGACAUCCUGCGAACUUGGUAGAGAUACCUUGGUGCCUUCGGGAACGCAGAGACAGGUGCUGCAUGGCUGUCGUCAGCUCGUGUUGUGAAAUGUUGGGUUAAGUCCCGUAACGAGCGCAACCCUUGUCCUUAGUUGCCAUCAUUUAGUUGGGGACUCUAAGGAGACUGCCGGUGACAAACCGGAGGAAGGCGGGGACGACGUCAAGUCAUCAUGGCCCUUACGAGUAGGGCUACACACGUGCUACAAUGGCAAGUACAGAGGGCCGCAAAGCCGCGAGGUGGAGCUAAUCUCACAAAGCUUGUCGUAGUCCGGAUUGGAGUCUGCAACUCGACUCCAUGAAGUCGGAAUCGCUAGUAAUGGUGAAUCAGAAUGUCACGGUGAAUACGUUCCC
rnacentral:rRNA from 1 species